rnacentral:misc_RNA from 1 species
GGUGAAGAACGUAGCGAAAUGCGAUAAGUAAUGUGAAUUGCAGAAUUCAGUGAAUCAUCGAAUCUUUGAACGCACAUUGCGCCCGCCAGUAUUCUGGCGGGCAUGCCUGUUCGAGCGUCAUUUCAACCAUCAAGCCCCCGGGCUUGUGUUGGGGACCUGCGGCUGCCGCAGGCCCUGAAAAGCAGUGGCGGGCUCGCUGUCACACCGAGCGUAGUAGCAUACAUCUCGCUCUGGGCGUGCUGCGGGUUCCGGCCGUUAAACCACCUUUUAACCCAAGGUUGACCUCGGAUCAGGUAGGAAGACCCGCUGAACUUAAGCAUAUCAAUAAGCGGAGGA